AACACUGCCAUGACGACAAGUCAUAGAGGGAAGGACUCUCUCUAUUCAGUAUGGUUCUAGAAAGGUUAGAGGGACGUCUACAGGAACUAGAUGCUGACAGACCACGUCUGAAAAGGCAAGCACAGAGCAGAGAAUAAACUCGGAGAGGAGGGACAGGUUUCGACCGAGCUCUUUCGAACAGCAAGGGCACAUUACUUUAACGUCCAAAAUCAGUGUCACGAACAGACAACCAAGUGCUUUGAUGUGCAAAACUAUUCUCUCCUGCUGAUACCAAGAUAAAAGGCCAGGAACCCAUAGGCUUCUAGGAGGGAAGAGGAUCCUAUACUGACAGCAGGAGAGGAAAGAAGGACCUCCAGUCUAAACCUUGAUGAAAGCUUAGGAGAUGCUACUGUUGAAGUCUUAGCCUCAGAACUGUGAGAGCACAGAUCCAAGUAAAACGGUGAAAACUAAACUCCGAUUGUGUUUUGGUGUGUGCACUGUUCCGUGGUGGUGUAAGGAAGGCAGCUCAGCAGUUAAGUGCACGUACUCUUCUUGCAGAAGACACAAGUUUGGUUUUCUGAACCCACAUGGCAGGUAACAGCAGCGACUGAAGUUCCAGGUGACCCCCUCUCAUGAAGUCCAAGGGAGCUGCAUGUUCAUGGUGCACAGACAUAGGCGAAAUACUCAUAUGGAUAAAAUUAAAAUAAACAGAU
rnacentral:lncRNA from 1 species